CUUUCUUCGUCCAAGACAUUGAAACAGUUCUUCAUGGAUUAUUAUUGAACUGAAAGUAGUUUUUGGACUGAAAAUACGACUGAAAUGGAUAGUUUGGACCUUUAUCAAUACAAAAAGGUCGUUUUAACCUGGGGAAUAUUGAUUGUUGGACUAAUAUGAGGCUUUUCCGGCUCUGGAACAAAGGACUAUACAAAUGGAGACGCCCUUCUUGACUCCAGACACUGAUUUCCGGAAGAGCAGAAAAGAACCCACCUGGAUACAGAAAUACGCUGCAGAUACGAGCAGCGAUGGAACCUGAUGUCUGGAAAAAGGUCAGCGUCUCUGAACAUCACAGCGCUGGACGUGGAAAG